GACGAACGCUGGCGGCGCGCCUAACACAUGCAAGUCGAACGAGCGAGAGAGAGCUUGCUUUCUCAAGCGAGUGGCGAACGGGUGAGUAACGCGUGAGGAACCUGCCUCAAAGAGGGGGACAACAGUUGGAAACGACUGCUAAUACCGCAUAAGCCCACGACCCGGCAUCGGGUAGAGGGAAAAGGAGCAAUCCGCUUUGAGAUGGCCUCGCGUCCGAUUAGCUAGUUGGUGAGGUAACGGCCCACCAAGGCGACGAUCGGUAGACGGACUGAGAGGUUGAACGGCCACAUUGGGACUGAGACACGGCCCAGACUCCUACGGGAGGCAGCAGUGGGGAAUAUUGCACAAUGGGGGAAACCCUGAUGCAGCGACGCCGCGUGGAGGAAGAAGGUCUUCGGAUUGUAAACUCCUGUUGUUGAGGAAGAUAAUGACGGUACUCAACAAGGAAGUGACGGCUAACUACGUG
rnacentral:rRNA from 1 species